rnacentral:rRNA from 1 species
UGGAUCAUCUGCCCAGAGGUGGGGGAUAACCCGGGGAAACUCGGGCUAAUACCGCAUAUGACCGAGAGGUCAAAGGGGGGUCGCAAGAUCUCUCGCCAUUGGAGGAGUCCGCGUCCGAUUAGCUAGUUGGUAGGGUAAUGGCCUACCAAGGCGACGAUCGGUAGCCGGCCUGAGAGGGCGAUCGGUCACACCGGAACUGAGACACGGUCCGGACUCCUACGGGAGGCAG